rnacentral:rRNA from 1 species
AACGCACCUUGCGCUCCUUGGUAUUCCGAGGAGCAUGCCUGUUUGAGUGUCAUGAACAUCAUCAACCUCUCUCUUCCUUUCGGGGAAGGGCGGAGGCUUGGACUUUGGGAGUCUGCUGGCUGCCGCUUGCGCGGUCGGCUCUCCUGGAAUGCAUUAGCGGUGGACCCUUGCUGGGCGAAGCGGCUCGCGGUGUAAUACUUGUUUUGUUCACCUCGUCGCCUGUCUUUGCUCCUGCGGGCUUUUUUCAACGCUCAUAAACCACCGAGUCGCCCUUCGGGAUGCGACCGCACUUUGACAAUCUGGCCUCAAAUCAGGUAGGACCACCCGCUGAACUUAA